rnacentral:misc_RNA from 1 species
CUACCCUGGAGCCCUGCUCUGUGAUUGGCCCCGUCCUCGCGGACGGGCCCGAAACCCGUGGGCGCCGUCGUCCGGCCCUGAGCGUAGCAAGAGAAAUCCCUCGCUCGGAGUGCCUGCCGCCGGCCGCCCCGAAACCCAUUUUUUAA